rnacentral:rRNA from 1 species
GAUGAACGCUGACAGAAUGCUUAACACAUGCAAGUCGAUGGGGAAGUGGUGCUUGCACCAUGGCAACCAUGGCGGACGGGUGAGUAACGCGUAAGGGACUUACCUGCAGGACUGGGAUAACAGGGGGAAACUCCUGACAAGACCGGAUAAUGUCAUGGAGCUGCAUGGCUUUAUGAUGAAAGGAGACGCCUGCGGAGAGCCUUGCGUCCUCUUAGCGAGUUGGUGAGGUAAUGGCUCACCAAGGCGAAGAUAGGUAGCCGGCCUGAGAGGGUGGACGGCCAGAAGGGGAGUGAGAUACGGCACUGACACAUAGGGGAGGCAGCAGUGGGGAAUAUUGGACAAUGGGGGAAACUCUGACCCAGAAAUUGUGUGUGCAAGAAGAAGGUUUUCGGAGUGUAAAGUGCUUUCAGCAGGGAAGAAGUAAGUGACGGUACCUGGAAAAGAAGCGACGGCUAAAUACGUG